AGAGUUUGAUCCUGGCUCAGGAUGAACGCUGGCGGCGUGCUUAACACAUGCAAGUCGAGCGAAGCAGUUAAGUUGAUUUCUUCGGAUUGAUUCUUAACUGACUGAGCGGCGGACGGGUGAGUAACGCGUGGGUGACCUGCCCCAUACCGGGGGAUAACAGCUGGAAACGGCUGCUAAUACCGCAUAAGCGCACAGAGCUGCAUGGCUCGGUGUGAAAAACUCCGGUGGUAUGGGAUGGGCCCGCGUCUGAUUAGGCAGUUGGCGGGGUAACGGCCCACCAAACCGACGAUCAGUAGCCGGCCUGAGAGGGCGACCGGCCACAUUGGGACUGAGACACGGCCCAAACUCCUACGGGAGGCAGCAGUGGGGAAUAUUGCACAAUGGGGGAAACCCUGAUGCAGCGACGCCGCGUGAGCGAAGAAGUAUUUCGGUAUGUAAAGCUCUAUCAGCAGGGAAGAUAAUGACGGUACCUGACUAAGAAGCCCCGGCUAACUACGUGCCAGCAGCCGCGGU
rnacentral:rRNA from 1 species